AUUGAGUGUUUGCUCCUUCUUGUAAAUAGGUCUGGCCCUUUCUCUAGCGCUAAUCUAUUGAUGCAGAAUUUUAUCUCGAGAUCAAAUCAACUGGAGUUGGAUGAUAACGGCAGGUCGACGAUGAUGGCUGGACCUGCAAAAAAAUCUCCAAUCGAAGAUGGCUCCGAUGGAGGUCUUUCAAUGCUCAAGUCAGAAUUCUGACAACAGAUGGGAAGGAGU
rnacentral:lncRNA from 1 species